ACCCGCUGAACUUAAGCAUAUCAAUAAGCGGAGGAAAAGAAACCAACAGGGAUUGCCCUAGUAACGGCGAGUGAAGCGGCAACAGCUCAAAUUUGAAAUCUGGCUCUUUUAGAGUCCGAGUUGUAAUUUGCAGAGGGCGCUUUGGCUUUGGCAGCGGUCCAAGUUCCUUGGAACAGGACGUCACAGAGGGUGAGAAUCCCGUACGUGGUCGCUGGCUAUUGCCGUGUAAAGCCCCUUCGACGAGUCGAGUUGUUUGGGAAUGCAGCUCUAAAUGGGAGGUACAUUUCUUCUAAAGCUGAAUAUUGGCCAGAGACCGAUAGCGCACAAGUAGAGUGAUCGAAAGAUGAAAGGCACUUUGGAAAGAGAGUCAAACAGCACGUGAAAUUGUUGAAAGGGAAGCGCUUGCAGCCAGACUUGCUUACAGUUGCUCAUCCGGGCUUUUGCCCGGUGCACUCUUCUGUAGGCAGGCCAGCAUCAGUUUGGGCGGUAGGAUAAAGGUCUCUGUCACGUACCUCUCUUCGGGGAGGCCUUAUAGGGGAGACGACAUACUACCAGCCUGGACUGAGGUCCGCGCAUCUGCUAGGAUGCUGGCGUGAUGGCUGU
rnacentral:rRNA from 1 species